UACGUAGGGUGCAAGCGUUGUCCGGAAUUAUUGGGCGUAAAGAGCUCGUAGGCGGUUUGUUGCGUCGGCUGUGAAAUCCCGAGGCUCAACCUCGGGUCUGCAGUCGAUACGAGCAAACUAGAGUGUUGCAGGGGAGACUGGAAUUCCUGGUGUAGCGGUGAAAUGCGCAGAUAUCAGGAGGAACACCGGUGGCGAAGGCGGGUCUCUGGGCCGAUACUGACGCUGGAGGAGCGAAAGCGUGGGGAGCAAACAGG
rnacentral:rRNA from 1 species